rfam:Pyronema omphalodes CBS 100304, CBS100304, WGS project CATG01000000 data, contig: Pcon_v1_contig667
GGUGUCGUGGCGCAAUGGUAGCGCGUUGGCUUCCGGUGUCCCAAAAGCAAGAUUGCCAAAGGCUGCAGGUUCGAGUCCUGCCGAUAUCG